rnacentral:rRNA from 1 species
GACGAACGCUGGCGGCGGGCUUAACACAUGCAAGUCGAACGGUGAAGGGACCAGCUUGCUGGGUCUGGAUAAGUGGCGAACGGGUGAGUAACACGUGAGUAACCUGCCCCCUUCUUCUGGAGAACCGCAUGAAAGGGUGGCUAAUACGGGAUAUUCUGGGUCUGUCGCAUGGCGGGCCCGGGAAAGAUAUUGCUUCGGUGGGGGAUGGGCUCGCGGCCUAUAAGCUUUGUGGUGGGGUGAUGGCCUACCAAGGCGGUGACGGGUAGCCGGCCUGAGAGGGUGGACGGUCACACUGGGACUGGGACACGGACCAGACGCCUACGGGAGGCAGCAGUGGGGAAUAGUGCGCAAUGGGCGCAAGCCUGAUGCAGCGACGCCGCGUGAGGGAUGGAGGCCUUCGGGUUGUAAACCUCUUUCGCCAGUGAAGCAGGCCUGCUCCUUGUGGGUGGGUUGACGGUAGCUGGAUAAGAAGCGCCGGCUAACUACGUG